rnacentral:rRNA from 1 species
UACAGAGGGUGCAAACGUUGCUCGGAAUUAUUGGGCGUAAAGCGCGUGCAGGCGGCUCGCUAAGUUGACUGUGAAAGCCCUUGGCUCAACCAAGGAAGUGCAGUCAAAACUGGCGAGCUAGAGUCCCGAAGAGUGUGGCGGAAUGCCCAGUGUAGAGGUGAAAUUCGUAGAUAUUGGGUAGAACACCAGUGGCGAAGGCGGCCACCUGGGAGGGUACUGACGCUGAGACGCGAAAGCGUGGGGAGCAAACAGG